AAGUCGUAACAAGGUUUCCGUAGGUGAACCUGCGGAAGGAUCAUUAAAUGAAGCAGCCUAGGAGCCUGAGAUAUGGCCACCGGGCACACCUUCCACCCUUUGUUUAUCACACUUUGUUGCUUUGGCAGGCCUGCCUCCGGGCUGCUGGCUCCGGCCGGCGAGCGCCUGCCAGAGGACCCAAACUCUGUUUGUCUGUAACGUCUGAGUACUAUAUAAUAGUUAAAACUUUCAACAACGGAUCUCUUGGUUCUG
rnacentral:misc_RNA from 1 species